GUUGUACUCCCUCCGUCCGAAAAUAGUUGUCAUCAAAAAGAAUAAAAGAGAAUGUAUCUAGAUGUAUUUUAGUUCUAGAUACAUCUCUUUUCAUCCAUUUUGAUGACAACUAUUUUCGGACGGAGGGAGUAGUAG
rnacentral:pre_miRNA from 1 species